ACGAACGCUGGCGGCGUGCUUAACACAUGCAAGUCGAACGCAGAGCGAUGGAAGCUUGCUUCUAUCAAUCUUAGUGGCGAACGGGUGAGUAACGCGUAAUCAACCUGCCCUUCAGAGGGGGACAACAGUUGGAAACGACUGCUAAUACCGCAUACGAUCUAAUCUCGGCAUCGAGGAUAGAUGAAAGGUGGCCUCUACAUGUAAGCUAUCACUGAAGGAGGGGAUUGCGUCUGAUUAGCUAGUUGGAGGGGUAACGGCCCACCAAGGCGAUGAUCAGUAGCCGGUCUGAGAGGAUGAACGGCCACAUUGGGACUGAGACACGGCCCAGACUCCUACGGGAGGCAGCAGUGGGGAAUCUUCCGCAAUGGACGAAAGUCUGACGGAGCAACGCCGCGUGAGUGAUGACGGCCUUCGGGUUGUAAAGCUCUGUUAAUCGGGACGAAAGGCCUUCUUGCGAAUAGUGAGAAGGAUUGACGGUACCGGAAUAGAAAGCCACGGCUAACUACGUG
rnacentral:rRNA from 1 species